UGACUAAUGAAUAUUCAAGCAACAGAAAAUGAGAUGAGUGAAUCUUCCUCUAAAAGAAUAUGGUUAGAUGCUUCAGCGUGACAUGAUGCCUGACAUGGAAGUGUGUAUGAAGCAAAGGUGUGUCACUGAAUUCCUCCACAUGGAAAAAAUAGCCCCCACUGAGUGAGGCGCUGGGUGGUGUAUUUCAGUAGUGGUGAUGGAGAACAGUGGAUUACCUCCACUGGUGCAGAUUUUUACGAGCAUGUCAUACAGGCUCUUGUUCAUUGCUGGUGAAAAUGCAUAGCUCAUGGUGGAGACUGGGUUGAAAAAAAGUGUUUUGUAGCUGAGAAUCAAACAAUGUUAUUGUGCUUUUUUUAUCAGUUGUAGUUUUGAUGGAAAUAAAUAGAAGGC
ensembl:lncRNA